AUGGGAUUAUUAUUAAAGAAUUUCGGUAAAAGAUGGGGAUGCGUUCCAUUAGGCAGUUGGCGGGGUAACGGCCCACCAAACCUUCGAUGGAUAGGGGUUCUGAGAGGAAGGUCCCCCACAUUGGAACUGAGACACGGCCCAAACUCCUACGGGAGGCAGCAGUGAGGAAUAUUGGUCAAUGGGCGGAAGCCUGAACCAGCCAAGUAGCGUGAAGGAUGACUGCCCUAUGGGUUGUAAACUUCUUUUAUAGGGGAAUAAAAUGAGCCACGUGUGGCUUUUUGUAUGUACCCUAUGAAUAAGGAUCGGCUAACUCCGUGCCAGCAGCCGCGGUAAUACGGAGGAUCCGAGCGUUAUCCGGAUUUAUUGGGUUUAAAGGGAGCGUAGGUGGACAUGUAAGUCAGUUGUGAAAGUUUGCGGCUCAACCGUAAAAUUGCAGUUGAUACUGUGUGUCUUGAGUACAGUAGAGGUGGGCGGAAUUCGUGGUGUAGCGGUGAAAUGCUUAGAUAUCACGAAGAACUCCG
rnacentral:rRNA from 1 species